GAUCCUGGCUCAGGAUGAACGCUAGCGGCAGGCUUAACACAUGCAAGUCGAGGGGCAGCAUAAUGGUAGUAAUACUAUUGAUGGCGACCGGCGGACGGGUGCGUAACGCGUAUGCAACCUACCCUUUACAGGGGGGAUAACACUGAGAAAUCGGUACUAAUACCCCAUAAUAUUCUGGGAGGCAUCUUUCGGAGUUGAAAGCUUUGGUGGUAAAGGAUGGGCAUGCGUUGUAUUAGCUAGUUGGUAAGG
rnacentral:rRNA from 1 species